CGAAGGUCAGGAAAAGAAUUGCUCUACAGCGGCGCGGGAGGGAGGGGAGAAAGAGCGGGGAGGAGGAGGGCAAGCAAGGGAUCUCGCAGUGCAGACGAGCCUGGUGGGAGGGAGGAGGGAGAGGGAGAAUUGGGAGCAGUUGGCGCGUCGCCGUCGCACGCCACCAUCCCCACCCUGCGCCGCGUGCUGCAGCGCUCGCCUUUAUUACGCCCCCGCCCCACAGAGCUCGCCUGGGCGAGCGAGCAGGCAGGCGGCGCUCUUCAGGACACCGAAUAUUGGCUGGUGGUCCGCGCCAAGGCAAAGAUGUCGGUAGCCAAGAAGGAAGAGGUACAUGAAGUUUCCUCCUUGGAGGUCCAUUCUGGUAGGCUGGAUGUCUCUUUCUGCAUUUGUAUAAAAACUCUGGAUGUUGUUUGCAGUCAUCGGCUCGGGCCGCGAUUGGAUGAGCCGGCGGUCGGCGUGCCCAUUAAGAAAAGGCCAAUUGCUUCCGUCUGGAAUGCGGCGGUCGGCGUGCCCAUUAAGAAAAGGCCAGUUUUGUUGUCUGAUAGAUUGCUUCCGUCUGGAAUGCCGCCCUCGAUGAGACCAUCGUCUCCGGCAACGGGGAUGGCCGUUUCAGUUGCAGAGGCAGGAUGCAGCAAGGACACUUUCUUGAACAGAUCUGUAUCAGAAGAAACAAGUGCAAUCGCAAAAGGUAAUGGGAUGUUUAAUCCCCAGGAUCAAAGGCAUGCCAAGAGGUCAUUCAUUCAAUCUUUGACCGAGAAAAAAGGGUUGUCACUUGAUGGAUCAAGUGGAAUCCCUUCUCGCAUAGAGAGUGGUACAGGUAAUGUUGCUCCCGUUGAUGAUACUCAGAGUCAGAAGUUUUUGAGUUUGGGUUUGCGUUCAGCAUCUCGUCUGAAUGGUAAGAUCAAUUCUAGUUCCAAUGUCAAGGAAGAGAAAGUUGAUCAGGUGAGCAAUGGACUGCGUCGAAACAUUGACAGUACUUUGAACCUUUCCAAUGCAUAUGGACUUUCUAAUAAGCGUGGGGCAGCUGAUGUUACCUUAGACUUGCAACUUAAACCACCAGCUAGACCUGAGCUAGGCAUAAACUGGAAAGGACUUGCUCCUGUUCCAGGACUAAGUCUCUCUCUGUCUAGUAAGCAUGUUGAAGAGUCUGAGAACAAUGCUGGAUUAAAUCUCUCUCUAUUUGGUAAGCACGUUAAUGAGUCUGAGAACAAUGCUCCUAAUGUUGCAGUUAGAUCUGAACCUGCUAAAGAGCCUGAAGAACAGUCUAAACGACAUGUUCAGAAUGAUGUAGAAAAAGAACAACCAUUAGAAUCACAAAGUGUUGGACUAGCUAACAAUCGCGCUGAAAUUGAAAAGCCUGACGGUGCCCACCAAGUUCCUGGAAAAGCUGCCCUUGAUUUGAAUUCUGGAAUCUUUCCAAAUGUAGCAACUGCUAACGUUCCACUAUCAACUGAAAGAUUGCGUGAUGCCAUCCGCACUGAGGCCAUGCAUGCUGACCAUGAAGUUAAGAAAUCUAUCAAGUGUGAGGAAACAACUGCUGCAAUCCCAAGUCCUGCAACUGCAUCAGUAAGUAGUCGCUGCUCACCACUGAUGGCCACAAAGCAAUUGCCUUUGGGAGACCGUGAUGCUAGCCGCGCUGGAUUACGUGUAUCAGCCAGCCAGCCCUCAUUGCCUACUGAACCUGCAUGCUGUAAUCCUGAUGAGGCUAAUGUUGAUUGCAAACCAACAAUGAGUCAUGUGAAUUCUCACAAUGCUGUUGAAGUUUGUGGUUCAUUGCAAAGUUCCUCGAAUCCUAUACCUGAACCAUCAAUUUCCAAUUCUCGGAAUCGUUUUGGGUUUGAUGGUAUGUCACAAGGGAGUGCUGAAAUGGACUGUUCAGAAGAUGAUGACAAUAUUGUAUCACAUCUAUCUACUACCAAUAAACCUCAUGGAGGGACACUAGGGAACAAUCAAACCUCUGACAGUAUGGGUUCGGGUAGAAAUCUACAGAAGGAACAUGACAGUAAUACACAUCAGAAUUGCUCAUUUGUGACAAAUAAGAUCGACAUGCAAGGUAUUAGUGAUGACAAGCGUAUUAAUGUUAAAGAUGGUGUUUUCCCUCAUUCAUGUCAGAACAGUCAUCAAAGUGGCAAUGUUGUCAAUGAAGAGUCCAAAAAUAAACAACUAUUGGGAUCAGAUAAGAAUACUCCAAUGAAUAACAACGACAGUACCAUACGUGUUAAGACCAUCACAGGCUCAAGUACAGCAGAUACCCGAAGGACAACUUCUGUACAGAAUGAAAGAGAUGGUCAGGUUGACGACCCACAUUGGAGAGGGAUGGGGCAUCCUUAUGUCAAUGUCAAUAGGAAUGAAACAUGGGAGAGGCUUAUACAGUCUAAGAGAGAGAAGAACAAAGGAGAGUACCAUGGUGGCAGGCAUGCGCCUGAUACAUUCAAUCAACGAAGGCCAGAUUACCGUUAUGGUGGACGUGGUGUUGGAUCCCGUGGUAAUCCAAGGAACUUCCGGGGUCCAAGAAUGAAUGAAUCUGAACUUUACUUUGACGAUGAACCUAUGGCCCGCAGAAGGCGCCCCUUUGAAGAUUACCUAGGGCACAUGCAGCGAAUUCCACAUAGGCGGCACCGCUCCCCGCCAAUGAACAAUCAGUUGCAGGGCGGUCUGAUGAGAGAUAUGGACAUUGAUGGUUUCUCUGGAAGAGAUGUUCCAGACCCUAGGCUGCUGGCACAUGAGCAUAUGGAAGAUCUAUCUGAUGACAUGAUGGAGGAGAGGUUUUAUGUACCACAUUCCCGUCGGCAUCAUAUACAAGGUGACCAUGCAUUCAUUCACAGAAACAGGAGCCAUUCACCUGGGCAGAGAAGGGGUGCACCUAUGCAUUUACAUAGAGGAUGGUCUCCUGAAACAAUGGGCAGAUCACCACCAUUAAUCAGAACUGACAGACCAUACUUACCUCAUCGACACCACACCCGCCGCCAUGGUUCGCCCUUUGACCGAAUUGAGCAUGAUGACAGAGGUAUGCAAAGAAACAUGAGAAGGUGUGGCAUGCAUCAUGGAGGUGUAGAAGGAGACUCCUUCGAGCCACAUCUACAUCCUGCUCAAUUAGCCGAACUACAUGCAGAAGCUGAACUUACCGAGAGAAGGAAGUUUGGCGAGAGGAGAGGCCAUCAUCUCCGACCCUUUGAAGGCAGCCCCGAUGAUGACGAGGUCAUACUUUCCUACGGCGCGGAUGGUGACAUGGACUUCGCCGAAGGUGGCAGCGGUGGUCUGCCGCCAGGAGAGCUCGACGGCCGCUUCAGGAGGCACAUGGGGAGGGAUGAGGAAGAAGAAGACCACAUGUGUCAUGGACCUCAUGGGUGGCGCGAUGGCAGCUCUAAUGGCAGCAGGGCAAAGAGGAGGAGGUACUGACCUAGUCGCACAACUAUGACAGCUGCGAGCCUAUCUAAACUAAUGCAUAGUGGCGUUUUUUGGUUGGCUGGUUCAUGCAUCACCGACUCACCGAUUCUCUUAACCAAACCUUGCUAUAGGUUUGCAAGCAUGUCUCCUUCAAUAUUUAUGGCUUGUUUCUUUCAUUCUUUCCUCACGGAAGUACGCUACCCUGCAGCUUAACACCCACAAGGCUGUCUGAAGUACUACUAUAUUUACACUAUAUAUCUCAAUAAGGUGAUAUUAGCAUGUGGACAUGGUCACAUGGAGGUGAAACUGACAUUUCAGGACAAAUCAAAGUAAACGUGGACUUGUCUUUGCCCCUCUAGCUUGCCUUUUUUGCUUGGUAAAUCAAAUUAAUUUGAGGAAGGAGAAGAAUAUCCGGG
rnacentral:lncRNA from 1 species